rnacentral:piRNA from 1 species
UGUCGGGUCCUCACAAUUCAAAACAAUU